CCCACACCCACGUGUGUAGGACCCCAAAGGAUCACCAUUAAAUUUAACACAAAUCUUUAGAGAAGUUAUAACAUGGGUGUGGUACUUGACUUUUCUAGAGAUUUGUGCCAAAUUUAAUGGUGAUCCUUUGGGGUCCUACACACAUGGGUGUGUG
rnacentral:pre_miRNA from 1 species